rnacentral:rRNA from 1 species
ACCAGACUCCUACGGGAGGCAGCAGUGAGGAAUAUUGGUCAAUGGCCGAGAGGCUGAACCAGCCAAGUCGCGUGAGGGAAGACGGUCCUACGGAUUGUAAACCUCUUUUGCCGGGGAGCAACGGGGUCCUUGCGAGGGCCCGAUGAGAGUACCCGGAGAAAAAGCAUCGGCUAACUCCGUGCCAGCAGCCGCGGUAAUACGGAGGAUGCGAGCGUUAUCCGGAUUUAUUGGGUUUAAAGGGUGCGUAGGCGGAAUGCCAAGUCAGCGGUAAAAUCGCGGGGCUCAACCUCGCUCCGCCGUUGAAACUGGCGGCCUCGAGUGGGCGAGAAGUAUGCGGAAUGCGUGGUGUAGCGGUGAAAUGCAUAGAUAUCACGCAGAACUCCGAUUGCGAAGGCAGCAUACCGGCGCCCGACUGACGCUGAGGCACGAAAGCGUGGGUAUCGAACAGGAUUAGAUACCCCAGUAA